AAGAACCCAACACAGCGUCCUCCAAUCACUAGUACUCUAGUAUGGGAGCGCUUAACUGGCGCCCGAGCAGGGACCCACAUUCUUCACGGAAAUAAAGGGAAAUGGUGACGGGUCAAUAAUUCUAUAAAAAUAACUUAUUAAAAAAGCAAGUACAAAUAAAUUGUUCCAAUCCAAUUGGGCAAUUGUUGGCAAAAUUACGAAGUACUUCUGCGAUUUGCAAAGUAAUGGGGUGAAAAUCCUUGCCAUAACAUAAUACAAUAAAUAAUAACAUAAUUUCUAGCAAGUGUUGGUGCACUAGAUAAUUCUAUAACAUAAAAGAAAUCGUGGCUAAAUGGUGGUAUUGGCAAUACCUAGGCUCAAAUCCGUGCCGAGACGAGUCUUAAAACGAAAAUACAAGAAAUUUGCAGGCAUAAUGGUGGUACGAGAUUGAUUCUCGUAUCGAGGUUCAAAUCCUUGCCGUAAGACAAAUGUCAUAAAAAAUAAACCCCACCAUUUCCACCUGUGUUGAAUGAUGGGUUUCCGUAUAAAUUAAAAGAAAUAUAGUGGUCAACGUUAAGUUUAAAGCACUAACUAUAUAACAAAAUUAAAAGACGGUUGUCUGGAAAUCUCUAAUCAACAAGCAAAGCAUAAAUAUGCAAAAAUAACCCUUACCCUAGUAGGUCUUAGAACCAAAGAGGAAUACUUUGGGCUUCCCUUUCGGAAGAGAAUAAGUCUGGCAACAAUAUAUAAAAGAAAAAAGUAAAAUAAAUAAAUAAAUGAAACGAAAGUAAGAGAGAGACGAGAUGAUUGUGGAACCACCCUCACCUAAGUAGGUCUUACACCAAAAAGGAUCCUGAGGGCUUCCCAAGUUCGGUAACAAAAGAUAAUACAACUAGUAAUUGGAAGCAAUUCUACGAGACGAUUAUUAAUAUUUUCUUAUAUCCACUGGAAACGGUAAAUAGCAGCAGCUUGGAAACAAUGAACAGCAGAUUUAAUGUAGAAAAUUAUAUCGAUAACAUAGUAGGCAUCGAAUUGAAUAGUAACUUCAAUAGUAUCACUGACCAUGUUUGGCUGUGAGACAAGGGCAUAACCGGCCGGACUGGCAAAUAAAAUACCCCCAUCGGGUUGGUGUUACUAUUGAAAUUAUAUCGUGUACUUUGU